GCCACAUUUAACUGAGCCUGGAGUCCAGUGUGUGCUGGAGAGAUGAGAAUGCAGAAUGUAUGGAUUCCAGUACCAACUCCAUCACGUAUUAGCUAUAACUAUGGUUGGGGCACCUAACUUCUGCUCUGAAGUUUCCUCACCCGGAAAGUGGGAAUAAAAUUCUUCUCUCAAGAGUUUUUAUUAGUCAAGGAGGAAGAAUACAUUUUUUAAAAUACAGGGAGAAAAAAAUAAAAUAAAACCACAGGUAAAGCUGAGGAGGUGCUCAGUAAAUGGAAGCUACUUCCAAAAUGAAAGCUGUUUCCAGGAAGGCCAGGCACAGGCUCGGGAGUAGGAACGUGGAGCAAUGGGUCACAGAUCCUCCAGAGGAGGCAGCCACUCAAGAAGGGAGAUGCCUAGCGGCCUGAGGUGAGGGUGGCCUCCUGCUCUGACCAGUCCCAGGGCCAAGUCCCGGCUCUACUGCUUAGCCACUCAGUAGCUGUGCAACCAUCGCCAGGGGCUGGGCCUCCCCAAACCUCAGUGUCUUCAUCUAUAAAAGGAACACGAAGAGUACCUACCCCUCGGGUAGCCAUGGCAAUUACAUCAGGCCAUACAUUCCAACGGCUAAGAACAAUUAGCAAACUCGGAUGAAGAUGGAAGCCAAGCGAUAAGCACACGGAGAAUCAUUUUACUGCUUUCCUUGCUUCGUAUACAUCUGCAACUUAUCCAUGAUAAUUUCUUAAGCAAGUGCUUAGGAGAGUCUUUGCACAUAAUCAUAUACAUUAUUAUCAUCAAUGUGCUUCCUACCCAUUAGCCCUUUUGAAAUAGUCAAAAUAAUUUCUAAAACAAUCUUUGGUGGAGUUCCUGCUGUGACUCAGCAGGUUAAGAACCUGACAUAGUGUCCGUGAGGAUGCAGGUUUGAGCCAUGGCCUUGAUCAGUGGGUUAAGGAUCUGAGUUGCCACAAGCUGUGGCAUUGGUCGCAGGCACAGCUUGGAUCCCAUGUUGCUGCGUCUGUAGCAUAGGCCAGCACCUGCAGCUCUGAUUUGACCCCUGGCCCUGGGAACUUCCAUAUGCUGCAGGUGUGGCCCUAAAAAAAAUAAAAUUAAAUAGUCUUUUGUAAAAGAUAGAAGUUAUUGGCGUUCCUGUCGUGGCUCAGCAGUUAACAAACCCGACUGGUAUCCAUGAGGAGAAGGGUUCAAUCCCUGGCCUUGCUCAAUGGGUUAAGGAUCCGGCAUUGCCAUGAGCUUGCCAGGUGUAAUAUAAGAAACCAGCGAUCGAGAGCACCUCUGAGGAAAGAUUAAAGAAUCAGCAGUGGGAGGUGAGGCACCUCACCCCUCGAGCUUUUUACUCUUGAAUAUUCCAUCAUGUGCACAUAUUUUUUAAAAAAGAAACUACUAAUUAUUUAAUCAGAUGGCAUAAUCAUCAUGAAAUGCCAGUGAGGCAUCAAUAAGCAGGACAGCAUGCUUUCUUCCUUUUUCUUCUCUUUCUGUUUUUUAUUUUUUCCUGAAAUUUAAAGCAAAUUGAAGGUAGGGAAUUUGAACUUCUUGCUAGAGUAUUUUGGAAUAAUGUCCAUUUGCUUUUUUGGAAAUUAAUUUUCUACAUCCAUUCACACUGACUAAUGCUCUCUCCUCACGCCCCAAAGAUGAGGUCGAAACUGCAUUGAGAUUUGCUCGCAUGUC
rnacentral:lncRNA from 1 species